rnacentral:rRNA from 1 species
UUAGAGUUUGAUCCAUGGCUCAGGAUGAACGCUGGCGGCGUGCCUAAUACAUGCAAGUCGAGCGAACUGAUUAGAAGCUUGCUUCUAUGACGUUAGCGGCGGACGGGUGAGUAACACGUGGGCAACCUGCCUGUAAGACUGGGAUAACUUCGGGAAACCGAAGCUAAUACCGGAUAGGAUCUUCUCCUUCAUGGGAGAUGAUUGAAAGAUGGUUUCGGCUAUCACUUACAGAUGGGCCCGCGGUGCAUUAGCUAGUUGGUGAGGUAACGGCUCACCAAGGCAACGAUGCAUAGCCGACCUGAGAGGGUGAUCGGCCACACUGGGACUGAGACACGGCCCAGACUCCUACGGGAGGCAGCAGUAGGGAAUCUUCCGCAAUGGACGAAAGUCUGACGGAGCAACGCCGCGUGAGUGAUGAAGGCUUUCGGGUCGUAAAACUCUGUUGUUAGGGAAGAACAAGUACGAGAGUAACUGCUCGUACCUGGACGGACCUAACCAGAAAGCCACGC